rnacentral:rRNA from 1 species
CCUACGGGAGGCAGCAGUGAGGAAUAUUGGUCAAUGGACGGAAGUCUGAACCAGCCAAGCCGCGUGAAGGAGGAAGGCGCUGUGCGUCGUAGACUUCUUUUAUCGGGGGAUAAAACGCGGUACGUGUCCCUUCCUGAGUGUACCCUAUGAAUAAGGAUCGGCUAACUCCGUGCCAGCAGCCGCGGUAAUACGGAGGAUCCGAGCGUUAUCCGGAUUUAUUGGGUUUAAAGGGUGCGGAGGCGGGCCGUUAAGGCAGCGGUGAAAGUUGGGGGCUCAACCCCGGAAGUGCGGUCGAUACUGGGAGCCUUGAGUGCGGCGGAGGAAGGCGGAAUGCGCGGUGUAGCGGUGAAAUGCUUAGAUAUCGCGCAGAACCCCGAUUGCGAAGGCAGCGUGCCAUGCUGGGACUGACGCUGAGGCACGAAAGCGUGGGGAUCGAACAGGAUUAGAUACCCUUGUAGUC